CUGAGUCACACUGACCUUUAUUCAUAGCCUCACGUCCUUGCUCAACUGACAAGAACACACCUCCAGAGUCCUGGAGGAAGCAGCAUUGUUACUGUGGUUCAAACAAGACAGGAUAGAGGAACUGGAGAGUUAAGGGUGACGCUAAAAUGGAGAGAAGCUAUCUUCUGGGGUCUAGCCUUUGUCUCCUGAUGGCUGAGCACCAGAAACAUCAAUGCAACCGACCCAGCCAAGGAUGCCUGCAGAGAUAGUGCACGUUUUCCUAAAGAUAUCUCAGUCGAGGCUGAGAAACACAUGGGCCUGCAGAGAGAGCCCAUCAGUUAAGAGCAUGUUCCAAACUCACAGGGAACCCAAAUUCUGUUAUUAGGAUCCACUUAAGCAGCUCACAGCUGCCUGUAAAUCAGCUCCUGGAACCUGAGGUCCUCUUCUGGCCUCCAAGGGAAUCAGCAAACAAUAUGCAUGCAUGUGCAUGCGUGUGUGCACACACACACACAAUUGAAACUGUCCUUACUGAGGGUCAGGAAGUGUAUGGCCUCUGGUUUCACGCUGUUACUAAUCCUGUCUCAUCCCUAGACCAAACGAUGUAACUCAUAAAACCAUCUUGGAACUUUAUUUUCAAAAAGAAAAUCACCAAAGAGAAACAAGUCACGGGCUAGAGAGUCAGUCCUAUAGAGCAAUGACUGCUCUUGCCGAGGUCCCGAGUUCCAUUCCCAGCACCCACGUGGCAGCUCACAACCAUCCAUAAGUCCAGUUUGAAUGGAUCAGACACCCUCUUCCGAUCUCUAAGGGUACCGUAUGCAUAUAGCACAUGCACAUAGGUGCAGGUACAUAUAAAAUAACAAAAUAAAGCAAAAAAACUUUAAAUAAAAUCAAGUACAUUCAAUCACUAUAUUUUACCUAAUUUUUAAACUUCACUUUAUCCUUCAACCUUGCUGUAAAUUAUAUCUUUUGAACAAUGGUGCCUGAAAAGCCACAGAAUUGUGUAUAAAGCUCUCUCUAAAUGCCCAAUUCAAAUCAGAAACAGUGACAGUCACCUUCUCUGUGUAAUAAACUCACCGAUUUCCCCCUGUGGUGUAGUAGGGGAUCCAGCUUUACCUGAAUGGAGGUCUCUGAGUGGGACAGGAACUGCUCAGGCUCUGACUGCAGUGUCCAGUGUCCCCACCACUGCUGACAAAGGACAGAGCCCUCCCCACGGGUCCCACAGACCCCAGAUGCUGGUGCAAUAAUCGAGCCUCUUGAUUUCCCUCUCUGUGAGGUAAAGGUAUCCAUUCACCUGGAAUUCAUCCAGAACCUUCAAGAGUCAGAAACAUCCUGCAGAACAAAGCAGCUUCUCUGGCCCUCUCCAAGGUCCUGAGAACAUCCACGAAGUCCAGUUCACUGAGAAGAUGAGGGCAGCCUGCCAUUGCCACAACCUCCCUGGGAGCAGAGAGUGCCUGGGCACUCUGUCUGGAGCCACAGUCAUUCCGAUGUGGGCUC
rnacentral:lncRNA from 1 species